AUUAAUUAUAGUGGUUCCAUUGUGUGAUCCAAAGUUCAUUUUUGAUGUGGUGGUUACAUCAUUCGCACAGCGGCAGCUGCACCGUGGAACCGAGAGAAAAGUGUGUCGUUAUGCUCCCCCUGCGUUCAACGGUGAACCCCUGUUUCGAUUAAUCGAAUGAACGACUAAGCAAGUUUCUUGAUACGCAGUGACAUCAAUAAGCGAUGACCAGUGAUCACGCGAGCGCCCGUCGUUCUUUCGCAUCGCAGUUCUGUAGCAAGUAUCCCGCGAGUGACACAGGAAACCGACACGUGAUCUACAUGGAUCGACUCGGUGUACCGGUGCACCGCGGAAGAGCGAACAAUGGAUAUGAGAAGAGCAGAGGCUAAGUAGCAGGUUGCAGGUACAGGAACAGAGAGGGCGAAGCAACAGGGAAGAAGGAGCCGAUCGAGCGAGAAAGAACCGACAGAGAGUGGAAGAGUGAGUGAGGGAGAGUGAAGAACGAG